rnacentral:rRNA from 1 species
CGUAGGGGCGAAGCGUUGUCCGGAUUUACUGGGCGUAAAGAGCGUGUAGGCGGCCAAACAGGUCCGUUGUGAAAACUGGAGGCUCAACCUCCAGACGUCGACGGAAACCGUAUGGCUAGAGUCCGGAAGAGGAGAGUGGAAUUCCUGGUGUAGCGGUGAAAUGCGCAGAUAUCAGGAAGAACACCUAUGGCGAAGGCAGCUCUCUGGGACGGUACUGACGCUGAGACGCGAAAGCGUGGGGAGCGAACAGGAUU